UAAAGAGCACCUAUUAUGAGAUACACGUUUUUAAACAUCCUUUUGUGUGUAAGUGUGUAUUAGUACAUGCUAACGAUAUUCAAAAAGUACAUACCUCAAAGAAAACGAUGACGCGAGUUAUCGUCUCUAACGUUCGAGGACUACAAAAAACACUCGGAUUGUAGGCAACAGUUUACUUCCUGGGAUUGGUGACGUAGAUAAGACCAACAUUAUCAUAGUUCAGCCCUCUCUGCUUGGCUUGGGUACGCCCUCAAAGACGGGGGUGGAGAGCGCUGAGUCAGAAGAGAGCUAAAAUGGCGGAGGUUGGGAGUCCCUGCUUUGACCCUGUUUGCAAACUCUUGUUUCAUUGUUUAAGCGAUUAAAUCUCUCGAGUAGACGCUGUCUCUUUAGAUGCAAGGGCAAAAUAGCACUUUAUGGACUAACACAGAGGACAUCAUGUUUAAUACGGUUCCGGAAAAAUCCAGUCAGAAGUUGUUCACGGAGUUUUCACAAUAACUGCUUCUCAUGAACCAAAGCUGCGCGACGUCUCCUCCUGAAAGUUGGAUUACCGUGCACUUCUGGAUCACAGGCUAUUCGCAGCUGGACACAUCCUUCUACACUGUAUGCAAACAUGCAACAUCAUUACACACAGUACAAGGCAUAUGAGGAGCAAAGGAACCCAGGCAGUAGCAUCGUUUCACAAUGUUUCAAUCACCAUCAUCAGUGGAUGCCUUUGCCGUCCGUAGCCUGAGAUUUCAGAUUUGCAGCAAAAAAUGUGACUUUCCCAUUUAUUGGAAUGCUGUGCAGGUUGUACCUUGCAGCCAUCCAUUACAAUGUCACCAAGCCAUAACAAAAGCAGGAGAGGGAAAGUACAAGGCUAUGUUCCCAAAACACACAAGUGACACACUGUAAGCAGUAAUGUUUUAUUUCAAAUACAUUCAUAAUUAAAAACUUAAUGUAUGAAGCAGGGAAAUAAAUUAUCAAAACAAAAGAUUUAUUGACUGCAAUAUUUGUACAGUUAUGUGGAUGAUGUGAUCAGGCUUGUGUUUGAUGAGGUAUUUGAAGAUAAGCUGAAGGAAACCCCGAUUCCAAUGGACCUGGCAUCACAGUUUGAGAGACCUUCAAAGGAGGACGUGAUUGCAUGCCAUCUUCAGUGCAGGGGUCGUCGGAAGCCAACAUUCCGAUCAGAAAGCUCCAAGCAUAUCUGGAGAACAACACACGACAGGAUGAUAACCCUAAAGUGUCGUCUUAGAUAGCACCAGCUGACAAAGCUUUGAUAUGCCAUUUAUCUGAAUAGAUAGCUGUAAGAAGUGAAUUGAACAAUUUUU